GAUGAACGCUGGCGGCGUGCCUAAUACAUGCAAGUCGAGCGAACGGACGAGAAGAUUGCUUCUCUGAUGUUAGCGGCGGACGGGUGAGUAACACGUGGAUAACCUACCUAUAAGACUGGGAUAACUUCGGGAAACCGGAGCUAAUACCGGAUAAUAUUUUGAACCGCAUGGUUCAAAAGUGAAAGACGGUCUUGCUGUCACUUAUAGAUGGAUCCGCGCUGCAUUAGCUAGUUGGUAGGGUAACGGCUUACCAAGGCAACGAUGCAUAGCCGACCUGAGAGGGUGAUCGGCCACACUGGAACUGAGACACGGUCCAGACUCCUACGGGAGGCAGCAGUAGGGAAUCUUCCGCAAUGGGCGAAAGCCUGACGGAGCAACGCCGCGUGAGUGAUGAAGGUCUUCGGAUCGUAAAACUCUGUUAUUAGGGAAGAACAUAUGUGUAAGUAACUGUGCACAUCUUGACGGUACCUAAUCAGAAAGCCACGGCUAACUACGUG
rnacentral:rRNA from 1 species